GUGAGGAAUAUUGCGCAAUGGAGGCAACUCUGACGCAGCCAUGCCGCGUGCAGGAAGAAGGCGCUACGCGUUGUAAACUGCUUUUAACCGGGAAGAAACCCCAGGACGUGUCCUGGGUUGACGGUACCGGAGGAAUAAGCACCGGCUAACUUCGUGCCAGCAGCCGCGGUAAUACGAAGGGUGCAAGCGUUAUCCGGAUUCAUUGGGUUUAAAGGGUGCGUAGGCGGAGCGUUAAGUCAGUGGUGAAAUCCUGCAGCUUAACUGUAGACUUGCCGUUGAUACUGGCGCGCUUGAGUGCGCUUGAAGUGGGCGGAAUGUGCCGUGUAGCGGUGAAAUGCUUAGAUAUGGCACAGAACACCAAUUGCGAAGGCAGCUCACUAAGGCGAUACUGACGCUGAGGCACGAAAGCGUGGGGAUCGAACAGGAUUAGAUACCCCAGUAGUCC
rnacentral:rRNA from 1 species